UCUCUGGUAGUAUAUCGGACAGUACACCCGCCUGUCAAAUGAUGGUUCGCGGGAGAGCGGGGUUCGACUCCCCGCCAGAGAG